rnacentral:tRNA from 1 species
GUUUCUGUAGUGUAGUGGUUAUCACGUUUGCCUCACACGCAAAGGUCCCUGGUUCGAGACCCGGCAGAAACA